GCUUUCCGGUGGCUCAGUCAGUAGAGCAUUGCACUAGCCACACCAAGGUCAUAGGUUCGAACCCAAGGGAAAGUA